UGGGUAACCUGCCCUGUACACACGGAUAACAUACCGAAAGGUAUGCUAAUACGAGAUAAUAUGCUUUUAUCGCAUGGUAGAAGUAUCAAAGCUCCGGCGGUACAGGAUGGACCCGCGUCUGAUUAGCUAGUUGGUAAGGUAACGGCUUACCAAGGCGACGAUCAGUAGCCGACCUGAGAGGGUGAUCGGCCACAUUGGAACUGAGACACGGUCCAAACUCCUACGGGAGGCAGCAGUGGGGAAUAUUGCACAAUGGGCGAAAGCCUGAUGCAGCAACGCCGCGUGAGCGAUGAAGGCCUUCGGGUCGUAAAGCUCUGUCCUCAAGGAAGAUAAUGACGGUACUUGAGGAGGAAGCCCCGGCUAACUACGUGCCAGCAGCCGCGGUAAUACGUAGGGGGCUAGCGUUAUCCGGAAUUACUGGGCGUAAAGGGUGCGUAGGUGGUUUCUUAAGUCAGAGGUGAAAGGCUACGGCUCAACCGUAGUAAGCCUUUGAAACUGGGAAACUUGAGUGCAGGAGAGGAGAGUGGAAUUCCUAGUGUAGCGGUGAAAUGCGUAGAUAUUAGGAGGAACACCAGUUGCGAAGGCGGCUCUCUGGACUGUAACUGACACUGAGGCACGAAAGCGUGGGGAGCAAACAGGAUUAGAUACCCUGGUAGUCCACGCCGUAAACGAUGAGUUACUAGCUGUCGGAGGUUACCUCCUUCGGUGGCGCAGCUAACGCAUUAAGUACUCCCGCCUGGGAAGU
rnacentral:rRNA from 1 species